UGCAGUCGAGCGGAACGAUCCUAGCUUGCUAGGAGGCGUCGAGCGGCGGACGGGUGAGUAAUGCAUAGGAAUCUACCCAGUCGUGGGGGAUAACCUGAGGAAACUCAGGCUAAUACCGCAUACGUCCUACGGGAGAAAGCGGGGGCUCUUCGGACCUCGCGCGAUUGGAUGAGCCUAUGUCGGAUUAGCUUGUUGGUAAGGUAACGGCUUACCAAGGCGACGAUCCGUAGCUGGUCUGAGAGGAUGAUCAGCCACACCGGGACUGAGACACGGCCCGGACUCCUACGGGAGGCAGCAGUGGGGAAUAUUGGACAAUGGGCGAAAGCCUGAUCCAGCCAUGCCGCGUGUGUGAAGAAGGCUUUCGGGUUGUAAAGCACUUUCAGCGAGGAAGAAAGCGUGCCGGCCAAUACCCGGUACGGACGACAUCACUCGCAGAAGAAGCACCGGCUAACUCCGUGCCAGCAGCCGCGGUAAUACGGAGGGUGCAAGCGUUAAUCGGAAUUACUGGGCGUAAAGCGCGCGUAGGCGGCGUGUCACGCCGGGUGUGAAAGCCCCGGGCUCAACCUGGGAACGGCAUCCGGAACGGGCAGGCUAGAGUGCAGGAGAGGAAGGUAGAAUUCCCGGUGUAGCGGUGAAAUGCGUAGAGAUCGGGAGGAAUACCAGUGGCGAAGGCGGCCUUCUGGACUGACACUGACGCUGAGGUGCGAAAGCGUGGGUAGCAAACAGGAUUAGAUACCCUGGUAGUCCACGCCGUAAACGAUGUCGACUAGCCGUUGGGUCCCUUGAGGACUUAGUGGCGCAGUUAACGCGAUAAGUCGACCGCCUGGGGAGUACGGCCGCAAGGUUAAAACUCAAAUGAAUUGACGGGGGCCCGCACA
rnacentral:rRNA from 1 species